rnacentral:pre_miRNA from 1 species
AAGGGGAGCGGAUCCUGGGCUGUGUCCCCUGGUGCCCUGGCCUCCAGGGCCUGUGCCGCUGGAAUCGUGCUCCCGGGGCCACGCAGCCUCCU